rnacentral:tRNA from 1 species
GCCUCUGUAGCUCAGUUGGUUAGAGCGCUGCACCGGAAUCGCAGGGCCGUAGGUUCAAUUCCUACCCAGAGGAC